rnacentral:tRNA from 1 species
GCGCGCUUAGCUCAGUUGGUAGAGCACAUUCUUGACGUGAAUGGGGUCAUAGGUUCGAGUCCUAUAGCGCGCA